GCUCUCCCCUCGCUCCCACACUUGAGCUCCAGCUUAAUGAGGGCUGAGGCAUUGGAACCUCCCCCAGUAGUGCCUUCUGUGAGAUGCAGUCCUCCCGGCAGCCGUCUUUUGGCGUGGUAGCCACUCCCAGGACUUUGGUGGAGAUUUGGUCCAAGUUGCAGGCCAAAGAUCCCUAUCAUCUGGUCCCUGUUCAUCUGACAGAGAGUGGGUCCAUCCAUGGAGCAGCAGGCCAGACUAAGAUUGCUUGCAUCAAACUUGUUGUUCUCUACUUGGUCACUGAUCCACUCCAGAGCAUUGUCUGCUGUCCAGCAGUGAGGGCUGAUUUGCAUGUACCACUCAUCUGCAGAGAGAAAUGGAGGAAUCACAUGCUACUCUUUAAAGAUUGGGGGACGGACUCAGGUGAGUUCAGGGGAAUUCCACCUGAAACUGGCCACACCUUCAUCCCGGUUGCCUCCUCCUCUGCUUUUCUGAGAACUUGAUCAACAAAACAAACCUGCUUUUCUCUCUGUUGUCUCUGUAUCUUUUAAACCAUCAACUAGAGUGAUAUUAUAGUUGUAUUUGAGUCAACUAGCUUUUAUGGCUUGGUGUAAAAAAACAAAACUAUUGAAUGAAAUAGGAGUAAUGUGUAAUGUGUUAGAGUAACUUUACUUGGCACAGAAAUUGUGAAAGUAGUUACAACUACUAGUUUCUAUUAUCUUCAGAAAAUUAUAAUGUAUAGUGUGUCAUAGUUUCCUAUCUUUUUUCUCAUUCUCUCAAAGGUGUGUGUGUGUGUGUGUGUGUGUGUGUGUGUGUGUGUGUGUGUGUGUGUGUGUGUGUGUGUGUGUGUGUGUGUGUGUUAGACGACAAGGUGUCACUUUUGUGGACAGUUUUAUCAGUCAACAGCCAAACUAAGAAAAGCUGACGUGUCUACCAGGCUUUUUUGUUACACUGCACUCAGUUACCCCCUAAUAUGUAACCAACUUUAUCUGUGUCUGUGAUGUUAUUCUGUAUUACUAGUUAAUGAGCCGAGGACAAAACACAGAUUGUACAGAUUUAUUUAAAAACAGCUUCCUAAAGCAUUCUCUGUUCCCUGCCUUUGUGUAGAGCUUAAACUAUGAUGCAAAAGAAAAAAGUCAUAAAUACCCCACACUUUCUAUCUGCGUGUGUUUGCAUGUCACUGUUGAUGUCACUUGUAAAGCCCAUCUACAUCUUUAUAAAAAAACACACAGAGGCUCUUUUUGUACUCUCAAAAUACUACAACACGUACUUUGAUCUUCCAGUGAAAAGAUUUUUCUGUUUUUCAAAGAUUAGCGAUGCAACUAACAGCCAGGAAAGAAGCUGAAAAGAAAACACAUUCGAUGAUGUAGGCACAUUUUUCCUAUAAUCCAAUAAAAAAAUGGCAUUUGGAAUUUGUUUUAGACAGUUAUUACUUUUCUCCCAAAUUUUCACGACAUCACUCACGCCCUGUUUCCACAAUGUGGUGGAGGAAAAGCUUAGUGUGGAAUGCAGCCAUGCAGGUUUUUGCUUCCUGACGGGUUACUAGCUCUUAUGGCCUGGGGACUAACAGGAACAUUUCCUCACUUGUGACUCAUGCCAUUUUCCCCCGCCUUCAUUACUCUUAUACACCUGGGCUGUUCCUAAAUGUCGGUACUUUCCACAGACAAAAUUAAAGUUUAGAAACUAGUGACGAGAAAAGGUGUAGAGAUUAAUCAUAACAGAAAUGUUUUUUUAAAUAUUGUUUACAUACAAUUAACAACUGAAGAUUAAAGUUGUGUUACUGAUAUCUGUUAUGUAUUCACCUAUGCCACCGUAGCCAAUGCAUUACCUAUCUACAAAAGAGGAAAAGGGGACAUAAAACACAGAAGUAAUGAGUAAGCAUGAGAAGUAAAAAGUGUCGCGUUAGAAUGGUUUGAUAUUUGUGCAUACAUUGUUCAGUUAUUUUGCUUGUGUGCGCAUACACACACACACACCAAAUAAAAAAGAUCUACAAAGAGAGGAGCAACAGUCCUACUUCACAUAAGAACACAAGUUUAACCUUUCUGGACACUAGGUGGUCCAAUACACACUCUUAAAUAACGUGGAACAUCAAUAUUUAGAAAACAUAUUAUAAAGUUUUAUAAACACAUUAUGACUCACCUGUGGUAAAUCACAAAUGAGAAUCACCUGUGAUAAAUUGUCUGUGCCCAUGUGACAUGAAUUAGCCAAUGAAUGGUAAAUGGUUUUGUAUUUAUAUAGUGCUUUUCUAGUCUUGAUGACCACUCAAAGCGCUUUACAGUACAGUUUUACAUUCACCCAUUCACACACACAUUCAUACAGUGCACUUUGUUAUUCUAUGGGGGGCCAUUCAGGGUUCAGCAUCUUGCCCAAGGACACUUCGGCAUGCAGAUGGGUCAGACUGGGGAUCGAACCGCCGACCUUCAGGUUGGAGGACGACCACUCUACCCCUCAGCCAAAGCCGCCCGCAAUGAAUAAUGACUUCCGUGUUUUAAAAAGCCACCUGUUAUUCCCUGUUCCUUUGUCACAAUGGUGAAGACAAAGGAGCUGUCUGAGGACAUUAGAAGGGCUAUUAUUAUCAUACACAAGACCUCCAAAGGGUAUAAGGCCAUCUCCAAAGACCUUUGUAUCCCUUUUUCAACAGUGCGUAAGUAUGCCAAGCAUGGAACUGUCAAGAACCUUCCUGGACGUGGGGGGAAGAGAAAAAUUUAUGAGAGAAGUCUUCGAAUGUUGGUGCGAAUGGUGAGAAAAAAUACCCUAACCCUAACCCAUGUCAAAGAUCCAAAGACCUGAAGGCCAACCUGGAACAGUCUGGGGUCAUGGUUUCAAAAAAGUACUACACAACGCACACUAAACCAAACAGGGCUUUAUGGGCGAAGGCCAAGGAGGACACCCUUGCUGAGUAAAAUACAUAAAUGGAGCACCUGGACAAACCGCAGUUCUUCUGGGAAAAUGUUCUCUGGAAAGAUGAAACAAAAAUGGAGCUUUUUGGCGAUGUAGACCACAGUUUGUUAACAGUCUGCGCAAUGAAGCCUAGAAGGAAAAGAACACCCUACCAAGUUAAGCAUGGUGGAGGAUCCAUAAUGCUGUUGGCUGCUUUGCUGCAACUGGUACUGGAGGCCUUGACCGUAUCACAGGAAUCAUGAAAUCAGAGAAUUAUCAAGAGAUUUUAGAGAGAAAUGUCCUACCCAGUGUAAGAAAACUUGGUUUGAGUCGAAGAUAAUGGGUCCUACAGCAAGACAAAGAUCAAAAUUACACGUCCAAAAGCACGCAUGAAUGGUGGAAAAGGAAAAAAUUGACUGUUUUAAAAUGGCGCGCAAUGAGUCCUGAUCUCAAUCCGAUUGAAAAUCUUUGGGGAGCCAUUCCUGGACCAUCUUGCUCAAUUUGAUGGAGAUCUAGAGCAGCUA